rnacentral:rRNA from 1 species
UACGUAGGGGGCAAGCGUUGUCCGGAUUUAUUGGGCGUAAAGAGCGUGUAGGCGGUCAGGUAGGUCAGCUGUGAAAACUCGAGGCUCAACCUCGAGACGCCGGUUGAAACCAUCUGACUAGAGUCCGGAAGAGGAGAGUGGAAUUCCUGGUGUAGCGGUGAAAUGCGCAGAUAUCAGGAGGAACACCUGUGGCGAAAGCGGCUCACUGGACCAUAACUGACGCUGAUGCACGAAAGCUAGGGGAGCAAACAGG